GGGCCCUUAGCUCAGUCGGUAGAGCAACUGACUUUUAAUCAGUAGGUCGAAGGUUCGAAUCCUUCAGGGCUCACCA
rnacentral:tRNA from 3 species